rnacentral:rRNA from 1 species
AUUGAACGCUGGCGGCAGGCCUAACACAUGCAAGUCGGACGGUAGCACAGAGGAGCUUGCUCCUCGGGUGACGAGUGGCGGACGGGUGAGUAAUGUCUGGGGAUCUGCCCGAUAGAGGGGGAUAACCACUGGAAACGGUGGCUAAUACCGCAUAACGUCGCAAGACCAAAGAGGGGGACCUUCGGGCCUCUCACUAUCGGAUGAACCCAGAUGGGAUUAGCUAGUAGGCGGGGUAAUGGCCCACCUAGGCGACGAUCCCUAGCUGGUCUGAGAGGAUGACCAGCCACACUGGAAAUGAGACACGGUCCAGACUCCUACGGGAGGCAGCAGUGGGGAAUAUUGCACAAUGGGCGCAAGCCUGGUGCAGCCAUGCCGCGUGUAUGAAGAAGGCCUUCGGGUUGUAAAGUACUUUCAGCGGGGAGGAAGGCGAUGUGGUUAAUAACCUUGUCGAUUGACGUUACCCGCAGAAGAAGCACCGGCUAACUCCGUGCCAGCCGCCGCGGUAA